CACGGGGGGAGCAAGCGUUGUUCGGAAUCACUGGGCGUAAAGGGCGUGUAGGCGGUUCGGGAAGUGGAAUGUGAAAUGCUCCGGCUCACCCGGAGUACUGCAUCCCAAACUGCCGAGCUUGAGUAUGGGAGAGGAUGAGGGAAUUCCUGGUGUAGCGGUGAAAUGCGUAGAUAUCUGGAGGAACACCGGUGGCGAAGGCGGCAUCCUGGACCGGCAUUGACGCUGAGGCGCGAAAGCCAGGGGAGCAAACGGG
rnacentral:rRNA from 1 species